AGUACCCCGAGGAAAAGAAAUCAACCGAGAUUCCCCCAGUAGCGGCGAGCGAACGGGGAGGAGCCCAGAACCUGAAUCGGCUUGUGUGUUAGUGGAAGCGUCUGGAAAGUCGCGCAGCAAAGGGUGAUAGCCCCGUACACUAAAAUGCACAGGUCGUGAGUUCGAUGAGUAGGGCGGGACACGUGACAUCCUGUCUGAAUAUGGGGGGACCAUCCUCCAAGGCUAAAUACUCCUGACUGACCGAUAGUGAACCAGUACCGUGAGGGAAAGGCGAAAAGAACCCCGGCGAGGGGAGUGAAAUAGAACCUGAAACCGUGUACGUACAAGCAGUGGGAGCACCUUCGUGGUGUGACUGCGUACCUUUUGUAUAAUGGGUCAGCGACUUAUAUUUUGUAGCAAGGUUAACCGUAUAGGGGAGCCGUAGGGAAACCGAGUCUUAACUGGGCGAUUAGUUGCAAGGUAUAGACCCGAAACCCGGUGAUCUAGCCAUGGGCAGGUUGAAGGUUGGGUAACACUAACUGGAGGACCGAACCGACUAAUGUUGAAAAAUUAGCGGAUGACUUGUGGCUGGGGGUGAAAGGCCAAUCAAACCGGGAGAUAGCUGGUUCUCCCCGAAAGCUAUUUAGGUAGCGCCUCGUGAACUCAUCUUCGGGGGUAGAGCACUGUUUCGGCUAGGGGGCCAUCCCGGCUUACCAAACCGAUGCAAACUCCGAAUACCGAAGAAUGUUAUCACGGGAGACACACGGCGGGUGCUAACGUCCGUCGUGAAGAGGGAAACAACCCAGACCGCCAGCUAAGGUCC
rnacentral:rRNA from 1 species